UCGGACUGUUAAAGCACGACAACAAUUACCCUUAAAACUACAGCCCUCACUAAAGCUGCCCCCUCCACCUCUGCUCUGCCCCCCACUGAGAGGACAUGACUGCCUGAUGAGGACCAUUGUGUCAAGAAGCUCCUCUCCAACUGCCAACCUGAACAAGCUAAAGCAACCAAACCCAGAGCUAAGCCGGAUCCUCCAGCUGAGGUGGGCUCUGUUGAGGUCAUCAGGAUGGUGGGACAGAGCAGCCUCAUGAAUGGCUGGAUGAGCUGGGCUGCAGCAACGGAACCUUUAUGUAUGGAUACUGCCUCUCACCUGGGAUACAGUAGAAUUGGCUCCACCCAACCACUACAGUCCUCUGGUGGACAGCCCUAAACUCCACCCGAGGAGAGCUGGACCUGAGAGAGGGAGAUACUGUCAUGUUGCUAGGCAACCCCCGCAACGACCGCUUCUGUGAGGCCGAGGUGAAUGGCAGACUAGAUCUGGCUCCUGUUGCCUUCCUAGAGGAAGUUCUUGAUCCAGACAGACAUGUAAGCCCCGAAGGAACAGAUGAUAGGCCACUGUGACUGCCAAUCAGAGAGAGGGCAAGAUGAUAGGCCACUGUGACUGCCAAUCAGAGAGAGGACAAUAUGAUGAGCCACUGUGACUGCCAAUCAAAUGAUGCUUCCCUACAGAGAGAUUAUAGUGGCCAACAUUAAUGACGUCAUCAAACGCUGCCUGCCCGUGACAAAAACAUUCAUAAGUGCUCACAGCCUAAAGUCAUUUGAAAUGGAAAGCUACACUAAAGCACUAGCUGAAAUGUGGGUGUGUUUGUGUGUUUGACAUUGUGCUUCUCUAAACGGAUGCUUUUAACCUACAUCCUGCUCAUUGAGAUCGUGUCAAAUCACCUCUGUUCUUCAAAAUCCCACGCUUUUCUGUGUCUAAUCUCUCGUGGACAGACGCACUUAACUGGUAUCCUAGUGUCUGUCAGCAGGCUGUGGGAUGCGACGACUAACGAGGAACUUUGUUUCCGGUGCACAGAUUUUUCAUCGCUGAUUAUUUUGGACAAAUCUAAUUUUUACCGCCUUCCAUUUUCGGAAGAGGACAUUUGGACCAUGGACUUGCCUGUAAAUUGCAACUGGAGAGGAGUUAACGGCCUGCGGCCCCUCCACGUUCUAGUGUUUUUCUAACACAUCUGCCCCCAGAAUGUAAUCAAGCGUCUGACACAAUUACACAAGAUUUUAGUUUUGGGUUUCCGAGAUUAUUCUGUAUGUGACAAGUGUCAAAAAUGAAGGUGGGCCUGAAUGAUGUGACAACCUGUCUGUCUAACAAUCUGUCCGAAAGCCUCUAUAACAUGUUGGUGAUAUCCAGUGAUAAUGUUUUACGUGAUGAUAAAACAAAGUCGUUUUCACAAGGCCAUUUUACUUGAUCUUUAGGCAUCGAGCCAAAUAUGAAAACAAAGCUCCAUCCCAAAGACUUUGAUAUUUCUGUUCCUCGUCGUGACGUUUACAGAAAAUGUUUUUUUUUUUUUUGAUCCAAGUCAAAUCAUGAAGUCAAUUGUCUGAGCUGUUCUUCCACUGUAGAAUCGACUCAAUCUAUGAAGUCAUGCCAUUCAGAUGGAUGGACGUUUGUGACUGAUAUAUUUUGUAGAGAUGAUUAAAUAACCUGAGGUAUGCAAAGGCUGA